rnacentral:lncRNA from 1 species
AAUACUUAAAAGUUACUGUAUCUUUAAUUUACUUAGAAAGAAAUUGGAACCCAGAGAUUUGAAGACUCCUGGCGCUUUAAAUAACUAUUUUGUGACAACCGGGAUCUAGAACUCUAUAACCUUGACUUCCAGUCCCAUGUUGAGUCCCUAGAGCAUGCUACAGCCCCACAUCUUAAGUCAUCUUCUGGGUAAAUUGAAAGUUGGAGAGGAUAAUGGGACAUUUUAAUUUUUAUGGAUCUCAAACAACAUUUGGCUCAAAAAUCUGUGAUUUCGUUGAUUUGCCCUAGUGUUCCAUUUUCAAUAUGCCUGAUUUUCAAAAAACUCUUUCUGUACUCUCUGAACUUCUACCACCUUAGAGAAAAAAAAAGGCGAAUUUCACCAUUGUUCCUUCUGGGAUAAAGCAUUGGAGGAUAACUUUCACUUGGGGUUUAAUUCCAGAACCAGUUCAUUCAAGGUCAUAGUCUCUUGGCUCAGGAGCUAAAGAGGACCUUCUCACUUUGUGAUACCUUUUGGUGAGUGUACCUUCAUUUCACAAACAAUCAAUUAAAAGGAGGAAUAAGUGAGUCUACAUGAUUUGGUGUGUUUUUAGGCCAUCUUGAUUACUAUUGCUACUUCUGAUACAAUAGUAAGAUUCUCUGAGAGU